rnacentral:rRNA from 1 species
CCUACGGGAGGCAGCAGUGGGGAAUAUUGGGCAAUGGGCGCAAGCCUGACCCAGCAACGCCGCGUGAAGGAAGAAGGCUUUCGGGUUGUAAACUUCUUUUGUCAGGGAAGAGUAGAAGACGGUACCUGACGAAUAAACAACGGCUAACUACGUGCCAGCAGCAGCGUUAAUACGGAGGUGGCAAGCGUUGUCCGGAUUUACUGGGUGAAAAGGGCGUGUAGCCGGGUUGACAAGUCAGAAGUGAAAUCCUGCGGCUUAACCGCAGAACUGCAUUUGAAACUGUUGAUCUUGAGGACUGGAGAGGCAGAUGGAAUUCCUAGUGGAGCGGUGAAAUGCGUAGAUAUUAGGAGGAACACCAGUGGCGAAGGCGGUCUGCUGGACAGCAACUGACGGUGAGGCGCGAAAGCGUGGGGAGCAAACAGGAUUAGAUACCCUUGUAGUC